CAAUUUCUAUUUGAACAGAACGAGUGCCGAAAGAUUCAGAAACUGAGAAAGCAGAAGGACAACGAUAGAUUUUUACAGUAUAUUUCAACAGCUGCUGUAAGAUAAAAUCAAACAACUAGGUAACUCCCAAUUGCAAUGCAAUAGUGUGGGAAAAGAUAAAUUGCAUCGUGCAUGCAAAAAAGAGGGUAAACAAAAUGAGUCAACUUCUGCACCUUAUUGCGGAGACAUUGCCAUUCAGGGGCACUCUGGCGUGAUCCUCCUACAACAAGCAGAAAACGCUAGCUUCCGAGAGUGAUUUACUGGUUAAGAUUUGGGUUUACAAAUUUGAUAGCAGAAUCAAUACUCUAAACCACAACUCAAACACUUAGAGUACUCCCCCGAUAUGACCCCCUCUCUUUGAGGGUUAUUUGAACAUUCCUGACGAAGACGGGGUAGCUGGUCUGGUCGUUUCAUUGACGUCAAUGGCUUACUACGGUACGAUGGCAGGCUGCUACGUUCCGGGCAUACCGUCAACAUAUGCAAAUAAACUGUACAAAGUUUCGGUCGGGUAUUCCGGAUGCCGAGGUAUUUGUUUGUCUAAAUGUUCCCAAGACAAUCGUUUAACAAAGACUAAACAGAAGCGUGUCUCCACGUUACAAAUUGGUCAGAUUUAUCGCCAGUUUGGUUGGAGAUGGGACUAUUUAUGUUCUAUAUAUAUGUCGUUCGCUAGACUUCUUAAGACUGACAUCAAACGCUGUUUUCCUGACUUGGACAUGUAUAGUAUACAUCAGUUUCAGAUAGAAGCUUUAUUUAGACAUGCAUAUACACAAAAUUUGCGAAAAUUGGCAAAAGAAUACACUUUCAUUUAACCAGUUCAUCAAGUUUUGCACUACCUGUAGAAUUAUUAAUCAAAAGAGACAGAGUUUCAUUUUUAAAAUAUUUUACUGAAUGCAAAAAAUCAAGAUAUUUUAACAAUAGAGACAAACUUUUCACUUUCCUUCUAUAGAUAUUUUAGUUAUACCAUAACAUAAUUUAGGAUAUUCUUAUGUGGAAACUUUGAGCAUCAGUAAUUAAGCACUAAGCAAUCCUAUUUUCUUUGUAUUUUGCCGAAUAUUGUUUCUGUUCGUGCAAACUGGCAUUCUCGUGCAAAGUCCAUCGGAGUAAAUUUUCGCGGAACUUUUCCUUGGACAUUUAUUGGUUGUCGUAGCAAAUUAGAAAAUUCAUUAUAAUCAUAGAUUAAGUGUGCCCCACUCAUCAAACAAUUAUACAUGUCAGCAGCGUCUUUAUACAUGAUGAGGGUGAUAAUAAAUGACCAGCUUUUGUUGUAAAACAGCCCGUGCCAGUCCCAAUGUGACAAGAGUCCGUCAAUUUACAGCUGACCAAAGGGCAUCCUAGGGUGUCCGAACGGGGCAAUGGUCAGUCCUAUUUUACUCGCUAUGAGUUUGAAUAGCUUGGUGUUUUGAUGAACGGGGAAACUGAGUUCGUGUACCUGCUUUUUUUCUUAUUCUUUUUCAUAUUGAUUGUGUUAUAUUAAAUGUGUCUUUUGUUUUCAAAAGAAAGCAUAGUGAGAUUGAGUUAUCACGUGUACUAUUUUUAGCAUAGUUGAUCUUUGUGCAAAAAUAUCAUUUGUCAAGCACCCCGUGCGACUGUAUAGUUUGUUAGAUUUUUUAAGUGAACAAUAAUAAAUGUCAAUAAAUAUAAUACUCUU
rnacentral:sRNA from 1 species